CACUAACAAAUCCUAAGAAGAAAUGUCUUUGUCUCAGGACAAUAAUGUUGUGUGUGUUUGAAAAGUUUUACCGUGGUGCUCUUGAAAGCAUCCCAAUAGGGGGCAUUGCCAACUGUUCUGGGAACUGCUCUGCUAGACAACAGCUCUGAUCAGUUUUUGGUUCCCGAUCUCCUCCAUCAUGCUGUUUCGAGCUCUGCUCCAGACUUCCC